GUGCUCUUGUUGACAGCACAUAUACUAAAAUUAGAAUGAAACAGAGAUUACCAUGCCCCUGAACAAGAAUGGCAUGCAAAUAUGUGAAGUGUUCUGUAUUUUU
ensembl:snRNA U6 U6 spliceosomal RNA